CCAGAGAACUUUCCAGAGAUGGAUUGGUGCCUUCGGGAACUCUGAGACAGGUGCUGCAUGGCUGUCGUCAGCUCGUGUUGUGAAAUGUUGGGUUAAGUCCCGCAACGAGCGCAACCUUAUCCUUUGUUGCCAGCGGUUAGGCCGGGAACUCAAAGGAGACUGCCAGUGAUAAACUGGAGGAAGGUGGGGAUGACGUCAAGUCAUCAUGGCCCUUACGAGUAGGGCUACACACGUGCUACAAUGGCGCAUACAAAGAGAAGCGACCUCGCGAGAGCAAGCGGACCUCAUAAAGUGCGUCGUAGUCCGGAUUGGAGUCUGCAACUCGACUCCAUGAAGUCGGAAUCGCUAGUAAUCGUGGAUCAGAAUGCCACGGUGAAUACGUUCCCGGGCCUUGUACACACCGCCCGUCACACCAUGGGAGUGGGUUGCAAAAGAAGUAGGUAGCUUAACCUUCGGGAGGGCGCUUACCACUUUGUGAUUCAUGACUGGGGUGAAGUCGUAACAAGGUAGGCGUAGUGCU
rnacentral:rRNA from 1 species